rnacentral:rRNA from 1 species
AUUGAACGCUGGCGGCAUGCCUUACACAUGCAAGUCGAACGGUAACAGGUCUUCGGAUGCUGACGAGUGGCGAACGGGUGAGUAAUACAUCGGAACGUGCCUAGUAGUGGGGGAUAACUACUCGAAAGAGUGGCUAAUACCGCCUGAGAUCUACGGAUGAAAGCAGGGGAUCGCAAGGCCUUGUGCUACUAGAGCGGCCGAUGGCAGAUUAGGUAGUUGGUGGGAUAAAAGCUUACCAAGCCGACGAUCUGUAGCUGGUCUGAGAGGACGAUCAGCCACACUGGGACUGAGACACGGCCCAGACUCCUACGGGAGGCAGCAGUGGGGAAUUUUGGACAAUGGGCGCAAGCCUGAUCCAGCAAUGCCGCGUGCAGGAUGAAGGCCUUCGGGUUGUAAACUGCUUUUGUACGGAACGAAAAGCCCCGGGUUAAUACCCUGGGGUCAUGACGGUACCGUAAGAUUAAGCACCGGCUAACUACGUGCCAGCAUCCGCCGCAG